GUCCACGCAGUAAACGAUGGAUACUAGCUGUUCGGGGCAACCUGAGUGGCUAAGCGAAAGUGAUAAGUAUCCCACCUGGGGAGUACGUUCGCAAGAAUGAAACUCAAAGGAAUUGACGGGGGCCCCGCACAAGCGGUGGAGCAUGUGGUUUAAUUCGAUGAUACGCGAGGAACCUUACCAAGGCUUAAAUGUAGAUUGACAGGUUUGGAAACAGAUCUUUCGCAAGACAAUUUACAAGGUGCUGCAUGGUUGUCGU
rnacentral:rRNA from 1 species